CCAAUGUGUAAUACCCUGGGAGAUCAUUUUUUCCAGGCUCUGUCCACAUGGCUUAGGGGAGCAUAGAGCUCUGCCACAUGGGUACAGUCUCUUUCUACAGCAUUGGAGAUGAAGCUGAGUCUGGUGAACCUGCAUAUUCCUGUAGCUUCUCACAGUCCUGUGGACAAUCACUGGGGAGACAAACCAUUCAGGAAACAUGU
rnacentral:snoRNA from 1 species